rnacentral:rRNA from 1 species
UACGUCCUACGGGAGAAAGGGGGCUCCGGCUCCCGCUAUGGGAUGAGCCUAUGUCGGAUUAGCUAGUUGGUGAGGUAACGGCUCACCAAGGCCACGAUCCGUAGCUGGUCUGAGAGGAUGAUCAGCCACAUCGGGACUGAGACACGGCCCGAACUCCUACGGGAGGCAGCAGUGGGGAAUAUUGGACAAUGGGGGAAACCCUGAUCCAGCCAUGCCGCGUGUGUGAAGAAGGCCCUCGGGUUGUAAAGCACUUUCAGCGAGGAAGAACGCCUAACGGUUAAUACCCGCUAGGAAAGACAUCACUCGCAGAAGAAGCACCGGCUAACUCCGUGCCAGCAGCCGCGGUAAUACGGAGGGCGCAAGCGUUAAUCGGAAUUACUGGGCGUAAAGCGCGCGUAGGUGGCUUGAUAAGCCGGUUGUGAAAGCCCCGGGCUCAACCUGGGAACGGCAUCCGGAACUGUCAAGCUAGAGUGCAGGAGAGGAAGGUAGAAUUCCCGGUGUAGCGGUGAAAUGCGUAGAGAUCGGGAGGAAUACCAGUGGCGAAGGCGGCCUUCUGGACUGACACUGACACUGAGGUGCGAAAGCGUGGGUAGCAAACAGGAUUAGAUACCCUGGUAGUCCACGCCGUAAACGAUGUCGACCAGCCGUUGGGUGCCUAGCGCACUUUGUGGCGAAGUUAACGCGAUAAGUCGACCGCCUGGGGAGUACGGCCGCAAGGUUAAAACUCAAAUGAAUUGACGGGGGCCCGCACAAGCGGUGGAGCAUGUGGUUUAAUUCGAUGCAACGCGAAGAACCUUACCUACUCUUGACAUCCUGCGAAUUUGGUAGAGAUACCUUAGUGCCUUCGGGAACGCAGAGACAGGUGCUGCAUGGCUGUCGUCAGCUCGUGUUGUGAAAUGUUGGGUUAAGUCCCGUAACGAGCGCAACCCUUGUCCUUAUUUGCCAGCGCGUAAUGGCGGGAACUCUAAGGAGACUGCCGGUGACAAACCGGAGGAAGGUGGGGACGACGUCAAGUCAUCAUGGCCCUUACGAGUAGGGCUACACACGUGCUACAAUGGUCGGUACAAAGGGUUGCCAACUCGCGAGAGUGAGCCAAUCCCGAAAAGCCGAUCUCAGUCCGGAUCGGAGUCUGCAACUCGACUCCGUGAAGUCGGAAUCGCUAGUAAUCGUGGAUCAGAAUGCCACGGUGAA